rnacentral:rRNA from 1 species
UGCAGUUAAUAAGGGAGGUUGGAUUAAAUGAGUUACAAUAAAUAUAUUUAUUAACGGAAAGGGGAUGGAAGGCUUCUAAUAAGGUGGAUUUGUUUGUAAGUGUUUACUAGGAUGAGAUGCUGAAAAAGCUCUGAAAUAUGCACAUAUCGCCCGUCAUUCUUGUCUUUAGAUGAGACAAGUCGUAACAUAGUAGAGGUAUUGGAAAAUGUCUCUUGAAAGGCA